rnacentral:rRNA from 1 species
AGGCAGCAGUGGGGAAUAUUGGACAAUGGGCGAAAGCCUGAUCCAGCAAUGCCGCGUGAGUGAUGAAGGCCUUAGGGUUGUAAAGCUCUUUUACCAGGGAUGAUAAUGACAGUACCUGGAGAAUAAGCUCCGGCUAACUCCGUGCCAGCAGCCGCGGUAAUACGGAGGGAGCUAGCGUUGUUCGGAAUUACUGGGCGUAAAGCGUGCGUAGGCGGUUAUUCAAGUCAGAGGUGAAAGCCUGGAGCUCAACUCCAGAACUGCCUUUGAAACUAGAUAACUAGAAUCUUGGAGAGGUGAGUGGAAUUCCGAGUGUAGAGGUGAAAUUCGUAGAUAUUCGGAAGAACACCAGUGGCGAAGGCGACUCACUGGACAAGUAUUGACGCUGAGGUACGAAAGCGUGGGGAGCAAACAGGAUUAGAUACCCUGGUAGUCCACGCCGUAAACGAUGAUAACUAGCUGUCCGGGUUCACAGAACUUGGGUGGCGCAGCUAACGCAUUAAGUUAUCCGCCUGGGGAGUACGGUCGCAAGAUUAAAACUC